UACGUAGGGCGCGAGCGUUGUCCGGAAUCAUUGGGCGUAAAGAGCGCGCAGGCGGCCCGGCAAGUCGGGUGUGAAAUCCCGGGGCUCAACCCCGGGACUGCAUUCGAUACUGCCGGGCUAGAGGUAGGUAGGGGAGAUCGGAAUUCCUGGUGUAGCGGUGAAAUGCGCAGAUAUCAGGAGGAACACCGGUGGCGAAGGCGGAUCUCUGGGCCUUACCUGACGCUCAGGCGCGAAAGCUAGGGGAGCGAACAGG
rnacentral:rRNA from 1 species